rnacentral:tRNA from 1 species
AGGCUGGUAGCUCAGUUGGUUAGAGCACCACCAUAUGUGGGCAGGCAGAGGUCCUGGGUUCAAUCCCUGGCUGGUCCA